CUACCUCAUCAAUAAAUAGAGAUAUAUAAGAAUAAUCAUACUACGUCUACGAAGUGUCAGUAUCAUGCUGCUGCUUCAAAUCCAAAGUGGUGUCUUGGUGAGAAUUGAUUUAUUGAGUGUCGAAGUAGACAUGUUGAUAAAAAGAUUGUCCCAAUAAUUACGUGUAAACCAUGGAAUCCUGUUGCAACAAAGAAUGUUGAUCCAUAAACUGCAUCUGCAAUGGUAAAAGGUGCUUCUCAAUAUUCAUAUGCUUGAAGUAUUGUAAAGUAUAGUCCUAAUAACACUGUGAAGAAUAAUCCUUGUAGUGCUUGAGUAUGAUUAGAUUCUAUUAAACUAUGAUGUGCUCAUGUUACUGUUACUCCUGAUGCUAAAAGAAUAGCUGUAUUAAGUAAUGGAAUUUGUAUAGUGUUGAAGGGUUGACUUCCUAUUGGAGGUCAUAGUAUUCCUAGUUCAAUUGUUGGUGCUAAUCUUCUUCUAAAGAAUGCUCAAAAAAAAAAAAAAAAAGAAACGAAAAAUAAUACCUCUGAUGCAAUAAAUAAAAUUAUUCCUCAUCGUAAUCCAAUUGAUACAAAUCCUGUAUGUAAUCCUUGAUAUGUUCCUUCUCGGACUACAUCUCGUCAUCAUUGAAUUAUGGUUAGUAGGGUAAUUCCAAAUCCAAUUAUGAAUAAGUUAAUAUUAAAUAGGUGGAAUCAUUUUGCUAGUCCUGAUACUAGGACUAUUGCUUCAAUUGCUCCUGUUAGUGGUCAAGGUCUAUAGUCUACUAAGUGGAAUGGGUGGAAUCAUUUUGCUAGUCCUGAUACUAGGACUAUUGCUCCAAUUGCUCCUGUUAGUGGUCAAGGUCUAUAGUCUACUAAGUGGAAUGGGUGGUUUGAGUGAGUUGUUAACAUAGGUUUAAUAUACUUCUCUAGAAUAUAGAGUUCUUA